CUUGGGUGGAAAAUAACCUUAAAUUUGUUAAAUUCGUGAAACACUCUAAUCUUCAGAUGAUAGACAUUCAAGACAUUUAAGAAACUAGAACUAUUUUUUGUAUUACAAAGCAGACGCACAGUAGCAGAAGCCAUUUCAAACUUUAAACGAUUGAGAUCGAGAAGAGAAACUUCAAGUUUCUUCUACUUCUGCAAACGCCAAACUCAGAGCAGACGAAACGAAAGUGUUGUGACGUCAUCCCUCACAUCGUGAGUGCGUCGAUUGGUCGAGUCCGGCCGGCUGCCGGACAGUACGGCUCGCCGCCGCCGCGCCGCUUAGCGUGACGCAGCAGCAGACCAGACAAGACGCACAGGCGCUUGCUUUGCGCAUAUUAGCGUUGCGCUCAAAACACUUGUUAAUUAUUAUGGACAUAGUGUUUAGUACUUAAGAGAUCCCUUCACAACGAACUUCUGUUGGACGGUACGCAUUUGUUUCGUUUAUGGAUCCUGUUGAUUUAGCCUCAAAAAGGCUUCUGCUUGCUAUGAUGCUUACGCCUGCUUGGGUUGUUAACUCGAAAGACUUGUCAUCUUAUGUGUUUUAUUUUGACUAGAGUGCGUACAUAUUUAGUGCAACUGAUAACUUCAGAGCUAUUCGUAGCUGUCUCUAUUUGUUACGUGGAACACAAUAGUGCUAUUAGAAUCUCAUGUAGGAAAGUCUAUUCUGACGUGAUAGGUUAAGUUCGUUACGGUACCAUUUCAAAUAGCUAGCUUUCGUAUUUUGUUAGAUUUGUUGUUACUGAAAACAUUAAUUCUCUACCUUCUUUUCUUUAAUAGGUUCUGUUAUUGCUUUUAAUCACCCAGCAAACGGUGUGUGUGUACUGGGAAAGUUGGACUGGGUGCCUGGUAGAUAAUGAGUAAGACCCAGAAUGAAGAGUUAACCUAACAUUUUUAUUUACUACAAAAUGCAUCCUGGAGACAUGCCAUGUUAACCUGCGAGAAAUCUGGUACACAGAUAGUACAACACUGAAAAUAGGCGAUCUUGUCAUGACUCCGGACUGAUGUCGAAACAGGUGCUUUACAGUCUCAAGGCCUAAUUGAAAACAACAGGAGAGAAGAUCGCUACUUCUUCAGACGCAAGCCUCUCCCCACGCAGUGCAUACAAGCACUAUCUCAAUCUUUGCAAGGCUCGACACCUGAAGAAACUACAUUUAACUGCAUUUGUUUGUAUUUGGAUUUCCUGUUUUGCAUUGAGGGUCUAAUUAUCUAGUAUACCAAACACCACAGGGUUCAAUAAGUGUUCGGUAAUUUUUAUUGCUACUAAUCUAAGAACUUUAGGACUGACAAAUUUUCAAAGCAAAAUAUUCUACCAGUAGUAUAGUAUAUUUUUAAACUGUAUCUGUUUAGAAAUUUCAAAUCUUAUAAAGUGUGUGUCUCUGGUAAAAGGGGAAAUAAAUAGGAGCAUAAUUAAGAAAAAAUAUUUAUUUUUGUCUAUACUACAAGAAAAUGUAACCAUCAAUUCAUCACCAUCCUUCUGGAGUCGAGAGGACGCUGCGAGGGCGGCAGGUCCACCUAAACUUCCUCUGUAACCAGUCGCGGCCAGGCCAUCGCCGAUAUGGCGCCGUAGCGAUAUUGAAGUUGAGAGGACGCGGCGAUAACAGGGCGACAGGCCGAAAUGUUCAG